rnacentral:rRNA from 1 species
AUUGAACGCUGGCGGCAUGCUUUACACAUGCAAGUCGAACGGCAGCACAGGGAGCUUGCUCCUGGGUGGCGAGUGGCGAACGGGUGAGUAAUGUAUCGGAACGUGCCUGGUAGUGGGGGAUAACUACUCGAAAGAGUGGCUAAUACCGCAUGAGAUCUUUGGAUGAAAGCGGGGGACCUUCGGGCCUCGUGCUACUGGAGCGGCCGAUAUCAGAUUAGGUUGUUGGUGGGGUAAAGGCCUACCAAGCCUGCGAUCUGUAGCUGGUCUGAGAGGACGACCAGCCACACUGGGACUGAGACACGGCCCAGACUCCUACGGGAGGCAGCAGUGGGGAAUUUUGGACAAAGGGCGCAAGCCUGAUCCAGCAAUGCCGCGUGCAGGACGAAGGCCUUCGGGUUGUAAACUGCUUUUGUACAGAACGAAAAGUCUCUGGCUAAUAUCUAGAGAUCAUGACGGUACUGUAAGAAUAAGCACCGGCUAACUACGUG